rnacentral:lncRNA from 1 species
ACCAGCUAACAUUUGCUGCACGAUCUAUUCCACAGCUCCUCGAACAUUCCUGUACGAAGUACUUGGGCCCAGAGCCGGGCAGAGGAGGGUAGUUCUCUCCCAGCUAUGGUUGAGGAGCCCAGUCCUGAUACGGCAGCACCAUGUUCAGGACUGACACCCGCUGAUCCUCUGCCCCCAUGCCUCUCAAUUCUGGUUCCAAACCAGUUGCCCCAUGUCUAAACAGAGUUUUAAUAUUGCCCACCUGCUUGACUUUCUACCUGGCUUGGGUCUCAGGGUCUUUCCUGAACGAGUCUCUGAACUUGCCUUGGCCAAGUCCAGCCCCUUUUACAAGCUCAUCACCAGCUCCAGAGGAGGCCGCGCCAACUCCAGGCCACAAGGCUCCUGUGGUGUGGAAGAGAGAAUCCAACUCACUGAGUGCCUUCUUCCUUCCAGAGGACCAGCAAAUGACCCACAGGUCAUGAGGAAGAGAGAAUAUUCUCAGUCCAGGGCAGGCAAAGACGUGGUGGGAGCUGGUGAAGUCAGACAUUGUGCCUCGAGAAGACUCUCUCUAGGAGCUGUAGACGUGAGCCUAGAAUGCAUAGCUUGAUAAUCAAAGAUGGUGAGACAUUUCAGCAAAAGAGGCCAUGUGCUCAGGGGUCAAGAGUAUCGGACUGGAAUAAGCCUCAGAAGAGCCUGCCUCUGCCCCAUAUGGGCCACGUGACCACGGAGAACUCACUCUCCCUGGCGAGGCCUACUGAGGGCCUUGGUCCUUCUUCUCUGUGACAUGGAUAUGAACUCGUACUGAGCUCACAGAGCUGUUCAGGGAAUUAAAUGAGUCCAUGCCUCUGAAUGGCUGAGCACAAUGCCUGGCGCCGCAGAAGCCUUUGGUAGGUGUAGUUCAUGUGUUAUUUGCUUAUCAGACCAUUCACGAAAAACCAGGACUGCUGAGUACCAGCCACCUGCUCCAAUCAAGACCUUUCCCAGCUGGACCCAGGAAAGUAUCCAGUGAGUGGCAAAGCCAUUUCCGGCCUCCUAAGGGAACGAGGAGUCAACCAGAACCGAAGGAAAAAUCCAUGCCAUGAUCUACAGAACAGAGGACAGGCCAGGUGCGUCUUGGUGUUGCGAAGAGGCAGCAAGCCAUGGCCUCCUUGGGGAGCGUUGGAGGCACCGGCUGGGGAGCUUUUCAGUCCAGCUGAUCUCGGCAAAGGCGGCUUUCACGAGACCCGAACAUUUCAAGAGUCCCUAUUCCCAGUGGGUCCAAUCAUCUUCCAGCAGCUUCCCAACCGGUUUGUGAACCUCCGGUGGAUCUGUUUAUGAGAAGGGUAUGAACGAGAGGCCUCAAACUGUCUGCAUCCCGUGUUGCGAAGUGAAUUGUUUUCUUUACUCGUGGUGUGCCCCAUUCUAGCUAAAUGUAUAAAUGAUCCC